GAGAUGAGAUUCGAGAGAGGAGACGGAGUGAUCGAGAAUGGAGGAAGAAGAGAAACUGAUUUCGCACAAAGCACGGCGAAGGAGAGAAACUGAUUUCACACUCUUUUUUUAAGCCAAUACGGAUCCGCCACAUUAGGGAACCUCUCCUGAACUCGUCGAUGGAGCUGGUCUUAUGUUGCUCAGAUUUCAAAGACUACAGAGGUUUUUUCAUCGACACUCUUAUGCAUUUUUAUAAGUUACUUAUCAAAUGAUCAUGUUCUUUGACGUCAUCGUCAUGUGUCUUACUUAAUCCCAUCAAAAGUCGUCUAAUUUUACUAGUUAAAUGAGUUUUUUCACAUAAGAAAACACUGAAGUUUGAGCUAUUUUCAUUGUCCAUGUAUAUGAAUGAUUGGACUAAAUGCUUUGGAGAAUUAAAAGAAUUUCAUACU